GAGGUUAAGCGACUAAGCGUACACGGUGGAUGCCCUGGCAGUCAGAGGCGAUGAAGGACGUGCUAAUCUGCGAUAAGCGCCGGUAAGGUGAUAUGAACCGUUAUAACCGGCGAUUUCCGAAUGGGGAAACCCAGUGUGACUCGUCACACUAUCAUUAACUGAAUCCAUAGGUUAAUGAGGCGAACCGGGGGAACUGAAACAUCUAAGUACCCCGAGGAAAAGAAAUCAACCGAGAUUCCCCCAGUAGCGGCGAGCGAACGGGGAGGAGCCCAGAGCCUGAAUCAGCAUGUGUGUUAGUGGAAGCGUCUGGAAAGGCGCGCGAUACAGGGUGACAGCCCCGUACACAAAAGCGCAUGUGCUGUGAGCUCGAUGAGUAGGGCGGGACACGUGGUAUCCUGUCUGAAUAUGGGGGGACCAUCCUCCAAGGCUAAAUACUCCUGACUGACCGAUAGUGAACCAGUACCGUGAGGGAAAGGCGAAAAGAACCCCGGCGAGGGGAGUGAAAAAGAACCUGAAACCGUGUACGUACAAGCAGUGGGAGCCCCACCACUAAGCCAGUGGUGAACUCCACAUACGCAUCCUUUGCUGAGGAUACGGUUAACGGAGCGAAAGCGACGUUCAACCGCAAAAGAAGCAGAGGGGGCUUAGUGGUGGGGUGACUGCGUACCUUUUGUAUAAUGGGUCAGCGACUUAUAUUCUGUAGCAAGGUUAACCGAAUAGGGGAGCCGGAGGGAAACCGAGUCUUAAUUGGGCGUUAAGUUGCAGGGUAUAGACCCGAAACCCGGUGAUCUAGCCAUGGGCAGGUUGAAGGUUGGGUAACACUAACUGGAGGACCGAACCGACUAAUGUUGAAAAAUUAGCGGAUGACCUGUGGCUGGGGGUGAAAGGCCAAUCAAACCGGGAGAUAGCUGGUUCUCCCCGAAAGCUAUUUAGGUAGCGCCUCGUGAAUUCAUCUCCGGGGGUAGAGCACUGUUUCGGCUAGGGGGCCAUCCCGGCUUACCAACCCGAUGCAAACUGCGAAUACCGGAGAAUGUUAUCACGGGAGACACACGGCGGGUGCUAACGUCCGUCGUGAAGAGGGAAACAACCCAGACCGCCAGCUAAGGUCCCAAAGUCAUGGUUAAGUGGGAAACGAUGUGGGAAGGCCCAGACAGCCAGGAUGUUGGCUUAGAAGCAGCCAUCAUUUAAAGAAAGCGUAAUAGCUCACUGGUCGAGUCGGCCUGCGCGGAAGAUGUAACGGGGCUAAACCAUGCACCGAAGCUGCGGCAGCGACGCUGAUGCGUUGUUGGGUAGGGGAGCGUUCUGUAAGCCUG
rnacentral:rRNA from 1 species